GAUCCCUCGCCGAAACUCCACCUCGAGAAAGCGAGCUCCGCCGCCCGCCACUCUGUUAGGCCUCCACCGCCGGGAAAGCGAGCUCCGCAGCUCCUACUCUGAACUCCACCUCGACGACGAGAAGCACGAGCCGCGUGGAACUGCAGCCGCUGCUGCAGAUCUUUUCCUCGCCAGCCUCUCCGCUGUCGGGCGACGAGACCACCACUCCCCUACGCGCGGCCUUGUCCACGAUCUCCUCACUCACCUCCUCCCCGCCGCGGAGAAAGCGAGCUCCGCCUCCCGUCUUUUCCAAGAGAAUAGACAAGAGGCUGUGAACUCGCCGACGAACAAGCAGCUAGCGAAGGAGGAGUCGCUUCAAGAAAUCUUCUUCCACACGCCCGCCUAGAUCCGUAGCGCACCAAGUUUAUCAUGGUUUUAAAAAGUUGGGCUGAUCGGGUAGUGAGCACUUACAUUUGCGGUUCCCUUAAUAUCAAGAAAAAGAAACCUCCGGAUCAAGAGCAGAAUGUCCUGAUAUUUGGAAUGGAUCGCAUAGGAAAUAGACAUCCCUACCAAGGGGAGUCAUCAG